AGUGAACGCUGGCGGUAGGCCUAACACAUGCAAGUCGAACGGCAGCACCGUAAGAGCUUGCUCUUACGGGUGGCGAGUGGCGGACGGGUGAGGAAUACAUCGGAAUCUACUUUUUCGUGGGGGAUAACGUAGGGAAACUUACGCUAAUACCGCAUACGACCUACGGGUGAAAGCAGGGGAUCUUCGGACCUUGCGCGAUUGAAUGAGCCGAUGUCGGAUUAGCUAGUUGGCGGGGUAAAGGCCCACCACGGCGACGAUCCGUAGCUGGUCUGAGAGGAUGAACAGCCACACUGGAACUGAGACACGUUCCAGACUCCUACGGGAGGCAGCAGUGGGGAAUAUUGGACAAUGGGCGCAAGCCUGAUCCAGCCAUACCGCGUGGAUGAAGAAGGCCUUCGGGUUGGAAAGCCCUGUUGUUGGGAAAGAAAAGCAGCAGGUUAAUACCCCGCUGUUCUGACGGUACCCAAAGAAUAAGCACCGGCUAACUUCGUG
rnacentral:rRNA from 1 species